UACGUAGGGCGCAAGCGUUGUCCGGAAUUAUUGGGCGUAAAGAGCUUGUAGGCGGUUUGUCGCGUCUGCUGUGAAAAUCCGGGCUCAACCCCGGACUUGCAGUGGGUACGGGCAGACUAGAGUGUGGUAGGGGAGACUGGAAUUCCUGGUGUAGCGGUGGAAUGCGCAGAUAUCAGGAGGAACACCGAUGCGAAGGCAGCCCCUGGGCCAACACUGACGCUCAGGCACGAAAGCGUGGGAGCAAACAGG
rnacentral:rRNA from 1 species